AAGAUCGAAUACUCUCCAACCUGUUCCGGUAAAGAUGGGUCUGCAACACAUGAGACGUACAACUCCUUUUUUUUUGCGGAGGUCGCAGUUCCUCCAACAUCGUUGCCCGGACUCCCCCUGUUCAUCGGGGGGAGUCCACCGUCCCCUGGGACAGCGCGGCCUCCCACCGCCCCCGGGGUCCCAGGGGACCCAGUCCCCGAGGACAUGUCUUCGGGGAUGCGGUAUCCCCGCUGGAGGGGAUGCCACAUCCCGAGGGACAUGUCCUCGGGACUGGUCUUCGGGGACGCAAGUUCCCCCAGGGACACGUCCCCGGAGAUGCGGU
rnacentral:misc_RNA from 1 species